CCUGGCUCAGGACGAACGCUGGCGGCGUGCCUAACACAUGCAAGUCGAACGGAGCCAAUCGAAUGAAUUUUUCGGAAUGAUUUCGAGGAAGCUUAGUGGCGGACGGGCGAGUAACGCGUGAAUAACCUGCCCAUAAGAGGGGGAUAAUCCAUGGAAACGUGGACUAAUACCGCAUAUUGUAGUUAAGUUGCAUGACUUGAUUAUGAAAGAUUUAUCGCUUAUGGAUGGACUCGCGUCAGAUUAGAUAGUUGGUGAGGUAACGGCUCACCAAGUCAACGAUCUGUAGCCGAACUGAGAGGUUGAUCGGCCGCAUUGGGACUGAGACACGGCCCAGACUCCUACGGGAGGCAGCAGUGGGGAAUAUUGCGCAAUGGGGGAAACCCUGACGCAGCAACGCCGCGUGCAGGAAGAAGGUCUUCGGAUUGUAAACUGUUGUCGCAAGGGAAGAAGACAGUGACGGUACCUUGUGAGAAAGUCACGGCUAACUACGUGCCAGCAGCCGCGGUAAUACGUAGGUGACAAGCGUUGUCCGGAUUUACUGGGUGUAAAGGGCGCGUAGGCGGACUGUCAAGUCAGUCGUGAAAUACCGGGGCUUAACCCCGGGGCUGCGAUUGAAACUGACAGCCUUGAGUAUCGGAGAGGAAAGCGGAAUUCCUAGUGUAGCGGUGAAAUGCGUAGAUAUUAGGAGGAACACCAGUGGCGAAGGCGGCUUUCUGGACGACAACUGACGCUGAGGCGCGAAAGUGUGGGGAGCAAACAGGAUUAGAUACCCUGGUAGUCCACACCGUAAACGAUGGAUACUAGGUGUAGGAGGUAUCGACCCCUUCUGUGCCGCAGUUAACACAAUAAGUAUCCCACCUGGGGAGUACGACCGCAAGGUUGAAACUCAAAGGAAUUGACGGGGGCCCGCACAAGCAGUGGAGUAUGUGGUUUAAUUCGAAGCAACGCGAAGAACCUUACCUGGGCUUGACAUCCCUGGAAUCGAGUAGAGAUACUUGAGUGCCUUCGGGAAUCAGGUGACAGGUGGUGCAUGGUUGUCGUCAGCUCGUGUCGUGAGAUGUUGGGUUAAG
rnacentral:rRNA from 1 species